AUGUAUUAGUAUUGUUUCUAGAUUUUUUCCUUAUAAUUAAUUUCUUGUUUCAUACCAUUUUGGUCAAAAAAGAUGCUUGACAAUAU